rnacentral:rRNA from 1 species
CAGUCGCCACGGUAAUACGAAGGGGGCUAGCGUUGCUCGGAAUCACUGGGCGUAAAGGGUGCGUAGGCGGGUUUUUAAGUCAGAGGUGAAAUCCUGGAGCUCAACUCCAGAACUGCCUUUGAUACUAAAAGUCUUGAGUAUGGGAGAGGUGAGUGGAACUGCGAGUGUAGAGGUGAAAUUCGUAGAUAUUGGGAAGAACACCGGUGGCGAAGGCGGCGACCUGGUCCCUGACUGACGCUGAGGCGCGAAAGCGUGGGGAGCAAACAGGAUUAGAUACCCGCGUAGUCCCUGUCUCUUAUAC